rnacentral:rRNA from 1 species
AUUGAACGCUGGCGGCAUGCCUUACACAUGCAAGUCGAACGGCAGCACGGGAGCAAUCCUGGUGGCGAGUGGCGAACGGGUGAGUAAUAUAUCGGAACGUGCCCAGUCGUGGGGGAUAACGUAGCGAAAGCUACGCUAAUACCGCAUACGAUCUAUGGAUGAAAGCGGGGGAUCGCAAGACCUCGCGCGAUUGGAGCGGCCGAUAUCAGAUUAGGUAGUUGGUGAGGUAAAGGCUCACCAAGCCGACGAUCUGUAGCUGGUCUGAGAGGACGACCAGCCACACUGGGACUGAGACACGGUCCAGACUCCUACGGGAGGCAGCAGUGGGGGAAUUUUUGGACAAUGGACGCAAGUCUGAUCCAGCCAUUCCGCGUGCAGGAUGAAGGCCCUCGGGUUGUAAACUGCUUUUGUACGGAACGAAAGGUUUCUAUUAAUACUAGGAGCUCAUGACGGUACCGUAAGAAUAAGCACCGGCUAACUACGUG